rnacentral:misc_RNA from 1 species
CUGAACUGGUUCACAGGUCCUUCGAGGAUCAAAAGGCUCCAUCAAGUUCUGCUGGACCAGUAGGCCUUGAUUGUCUGUGGAGUUAUUGAACUUAAAUUAGAAAAAAAUAUAAAAUAUAUUGAGCUGUCAUUGCUGUUAUAUAAGUGUGGUCUCUGUAAAUAUUCAUCCAAAAGAUAGGAAUUCAAGGCUUUGCAUGUAGCAUAAGCUAUGAAGUUACCCUUUUUUUUUUUUCUUAGAUUUCCUACUAUCCAUUAAAUGCACCCUAGUCUUUCCAUGCC